rnacentral:misc_RNA from 1 species
GAGGAAGGAUAUCAAGAAAGAAGGAAGAGUGAGGGAGAGAGAGAAAAAUAGAGAGAAAAGAAUUUGUGUAUCAUCGAAUUCUUGACUGAUUUCUCAGUUAUAGUGCUAUUCCUAUUUAUAUCAUAUAUUCUCCUCUACAUUCUCAUUUCUCCUAUUCUACUUAUUAGUCAUAAUAGAAUCUUCAAAAAUCAUUGUUUGUUUUCACAAUAGGGGCUAAUGUUUUGUAUUUGGCUUCAUUUCAUUUUUUUGUCAAUGUUUUUUUUUUUAUUAUUUUUUUAAGAGAUUAAUCGCAUGUAGGGUUCUUUUUUCUAUUUUAUGAGAUUCAUAACAUGCAGGGCGAUUAUAUGGCUACCUUUCUAUUAGCUUAGGGAUUUUUUACUAAUUUCUUUACAUGUAGGAGGAAUGAACAUCCUUUUCAUAUCUUUCGUUAUUCUAUAUUAAUAUAUUUACCCUUUUCAUCAA